GGAAAGUCAGUGAGGAGUCAGCACCGUCUCAGAGUCACUAGAAAUCUCAAAAUUUGGGGAGAUGUCUUACGCCAUUGUAGUGAACAUCAUCAGCUCCUGUAUCGCAGGGCUCGGUCUGCUCCUACUAACAGUUGAGCUUAGUGUGGCUAUCUUUUUAACAGAAACAUCCAUGUGGCAAAUGAGAAGUGCUAAAAUGCUCUCAGAAUAUGUGUUCCUGUUCACCGCUUUGGAGCUGUUUGUGACCUGUGUAGCAAUCCAAUGGGCAUACAAAGCAAAAAAGUCAAACCUAAAUACAUAGUUCAUGGCAGAAGGAAAUCCUUUUCCUACACAUUAAAGAGCCAUCGUGACCUCAGUCAAGAAGGAAAGUUUAGUGGUGAAUAAAGAACUUCUUUUGUUCAAGAG
rnacentral:lncRNA from 1 species